AUUGCUUCUUGGCCCUUUGGCUAGGAUCAAGUGUAGUAUCUGUUCUUAUCAGUUUAAUAUCUGAUACGUCCUCUAUCUGAGGACAAUACAUUAAAUGGAUCUUUGGAAGUAAGAGUUGGAAUAGGAGCUUGCUCCAUCUACUCCAUACUUCGACCUAGUAUUGCAGUACCUCCAGAAAUGGUGAAUAGAAG